AACGAACGCUGGCGGCAUGCCUAACACAUGCAAGUCGAACGAGACCUCCGGGUCUAUUGGCGCCCGGGUGCGUAACGCGUGGGAACCUGCCCUUAGGUUCGGAAUAACUCCCCGAAAGGGGUGCUAAUACCGGAUAACGUCUUCGGACCAAAGAUUUAUUGCCUUUGGAUGGGCCCGCGUUGGAUUAGCUGGUUGGUAGGGUAAUAGCUUAGCAAGGCGACGAUCCUUAGCUUGUUUGAGAGGAUGAUCAGCCACACUGGGGCUAAGACGCGGCCGAGACUCCUACGCAAGGGAGGAGAGGGGAAUAGAGGACCAUGGGGGAAGGCCUGAUCCAGCAAGGCCGGGUGAGUGAUGAAGGCCGUGGGGAUGUAAAGCUCAUUUACCCGGGAUGAUAAUGACAGUACCGGGAGAAUAAGCUCCGGCUAACUCCGUG
rnacentral:rRNA from 1 species